rnacentral:rRNA from 1 species
GGCCCGGAAAGGAGAAACCUCCCACCCUUGUGUAUUAUUACUUUGUUGCUUUGGCGAGCUGCCUUCGGGCCUUGUAUGCUCGCCAGAGAAUACCAAAACUCUUUUUAUUAAUGUCGUCUGAGUACUAUAUAAUAGUUAAAACUUUCAACAACGGAUCUCUUGGUUCUGGCAUCGAUGAAGAACGCAGCGAAAUGCGAUAAGUAAUGUGAAUUGCAGAAUUCAGUGAAUCAUCGAAUCUUUGAACGCACAUUGCGCCCCUUGGUAUUCCGGGGGGCAUGCCUGUUCGAGCGUCAUUUCAACCCUCAAGCUUAGCUUGGUAUUGAGUCUAUGUCAGUAAUGGCAGGCUCUAAAAUCAGUGGCGGCGCCGCUGGGUCCUGAACGUAGUAAUAUCUCUCGUUACAGGUUCUCGGUGUGCUUCUGCCAAAACCCAAAUUUUUCUAUGGUUGACCUCGGAUCAGGUAGGGAUACCCGCUGAACUUAAGCAUAUCAUAACCGGGGAGGAAAGAUC